AGGGAGAUAGGAAAGGUUUCUCUCAAUAUUUUAUUGUGUUGCUCUCAAAUAUUAUCUACACAUAAUAAAUUCCUGCACUCUGCUAGGAGGGUCAAAACAGCCCAAAAUUGCAGUAGCUUGCAAGAGUCUAAAACAGACAGGUCAAGAGGUCGUUUUCUGCCUAACCAGCUACUUGAAACUGCUGAUAUUAGCUACAGGUCAGAAGGUCGCUUCCUGCCCAGCCAGAAACUGCUGUUAACCGAAAAACCACUAGCAAGAUGUUUCCUGCUUUACUUCUGCUUUUAAGUAAUGCAAGAAUAAGAAGAGAUAAGACACGUGUACAAGGAGGUGGGAGGGAGUGCUUGGCUUAGCAGAAAGACAGGAAUGUCUAGCAAGCAAUAAAAUUGUGUUUAGCAAGCAAUAUUUGCUAGCCGAUUGGGGAAGUCUGGGGGUAUAAGAAAGUCUGUUGAAGUGUCUUGCUUUACAGCCAGUGUAUUUUUAGGAACUAUCCAGCAGGCUGUCUCUGAGUACAGACCUUGACUCUGUGCACAGAUCUCAAUAAACUCUUUUUCUCCAAAGAAGAUUUUGCUUUCCUGGUACUUUUGUUCCCUCCGAGGUCCAGGGGAUGGCGUGGCUAAUGGAUCCCUAGGUAAAUAAGGCUUCAUCUCUCUGGGGGCUCGUCCGGGAUCAGCCCCCUCCCCACUACGGACCGGAGGGCCAGGCUCAACCAAGGUGAACAGCUCCGAUCGGCGUUCGCAUUUCCAGUGCACACCCUGCCAGUUUGUAGGGGGAGAUUGCCACACCGUCCUGGAGCGGAGACAUCUAGUUGAGGGAGAACAAGAGGACAGAACGGCGCCGAGGGGACAGGUCCGCAGCGGAGAAAGGUAUUCCCUCAAGCGUACACCUGCAGUCCCGUGGCAGUCUCGCUGAGCCGGUUCACCAGUCCCUCUGAGUGACAGCGUCUGGCGACCCCCUCAUCCCCAACUGCAGUGAAAGUAGUCGAGGUGAUCCCCUGGGUACAUCACACACAUCUGAAGAAGGGUGUCUGGACUUGCAAGAGAAAUCCUGCUGACCCUCUGAAGUUGAUCAUCACCUUGUGUCUGACGCUACCAGGAAAAAGCGUUAGGCCACGGGCAACGAGAUCCUGCGACUAAUCAUCACAAGGACAGUUACAAAGACUUUCUCUUUUCUCUCUUAUUUUCUUUAUUGACUUGCUCUAUGUCUUAUUGCCCUGACCCUACCGAACCAUACCAACCCUAUUGGCCUGCUGGCCUCUGCUACGACUGGUUCGUCUUGCCGGUGUUGGAGAGCCCACAUGUGUAUUGGCACAGGCAGGAAAAAGUCCCCCGACCUCCCUUGCCGACAUUUCCCGUUUGAUGACUAAGUGGGGUGCCCAUAACUCCUACAAUAGAUGGUUACAAAUGGCUGAAAUGGAGCAUGUUGUUUCAACAUUUCAGACCAUGGCGAGGCUAUCCGUGAUCUGGCGGCUAGCAUUGAAAAGGUGGCACAUGUCCCUGUACAAACUUGGGAGGGCUGGGAUAUAUCUUGGUUGGAUAGCAUCUUCCCAGGUGGAUGGAUGGGGAGAAUAUUUACUAUGGUGAUAGGCCCAAUAAUGCUUCUAUUGCUUUUUUUGCUUCUGUAUACCCUGCUUAAUGCAAUGCCUGCAACAUAUGAUGGGAAAGAUGAUGUCUCGCAUGAUGGGACCUCGCGUGAUUGCUGUAAUGAGAGAAUAUAGACCCCUACCCCAGAACGAAUCUAAGUAAUAGAUUGUUCAAAAGAAGAGGACGGAGUAAAGGGAGAUAGGAAAGGUUUCUCUCAAUAUUUUAUUGUGUUGCUCUCAAAUAUUAUCUACACAUAAUAAAUUCCUGCACUCUGCUAGGAGGGUCAAAACAGCCCAAAAUUGCAGUAGCUUGCAAGAGUCUAAAACAGACAGGUCAAGAGGUCGUUUUCUGCCUAACCAGCUACUUGAAACUGCUGAUAUUAGCUACAGGUCAGAAGGUCGCUUCCUGCCCAGCCAGAAACUGCUGUUAACCGAAAAACCACUAGCAAGAUGUUUCCUGCUUUACUUCUGCUUUUAAGUAAUGCAAGAAUAAGAAGAGAUAAGACACGUGUACAAGGAGGUGGGAGGGAGUGCUUGGCUUAGCAGAAAGACAGGAAUGUCUAGCAAGCAAUAAAAUUGUGUUUAGCAAGCAAUAUUUGCUAGCCGAUUGGGGAAGUCUGGGGGUAUAAGAAAGUCUGUUGAAGUGUCUUGCUUUACAGCCAGUGUAUUUUUAGGAACUAUCCAGCAGGCUGUCUCUGAGUACAGACCUUGACUCUGUGCACAGAUCUCAAUAAACUCUUUUUCUCCAAAGAA